UACGGGGGGAGCAAGCGUUGUUCGGAUUUACUGGGCGUAAAGGGCGCGUAGGCGGUCAGCACAAGUCAGUUGUGAAAUCUCCGGGCUUAACUCGGAAAGGUCAACUGAUACUGUGCGACUAGAGUGCGGAAGGGGCAACUGGAAUUCUUGGUGUAGCGGUGAAAUGCGUAGAUAUCAGGAGGAACACCGGUGGCGAAGGCGGAUCUCUGGGCCAUUACUGACGCUGAGGAGCGAAAGCGUGGGGAGCGAACAGG
rnacentral:rRNA from 1 species